AAAAUUUGGUCACAAACUCUUGAGGCAUAAUAAAGAUUUCAAAUACGCGAUUGAUAUUGAGUGGUUCCACUGACAUUGUGCCCAAUUAAAAGAGCCUUAAGAAGAUAAGAAGGCCCAUCGGCAAAAUAGGAAGCACUAUGAGAUAUCGGAUAUCAUAAAAUUACCGAGUGCAAAAUUCAGUGAUUUUCAUAUGACCGGAUUCCGAAAUAAAAAGAAAAGACUAUUUUAAGGGUAGAAACUCAGUGCUGUAACUCCGAAAAAGAAGGCCCCUGGCAGAAUCAAAAAUAGUAGUCAGAGACAAACGAGACGGUUAACUUGGCAGUGAAAUCUGUCCCAUUUUAAGGAACUCGUGCAUCUCUCUCUUUCUUGUAUUAGCUUCCAUAAGUCUCUCUUCGUUUAAUUAUGGGAAAGCAUUUGUAGAGGUCGCCCCAGUAGGAAACAUUUCCUAGUUGUUACAUGCGUCAUUUGACAAUUUUGACAUGACAGCUUUUAGGUUGUGUUUAUGUUUACAUGUGUAAUAAUUCGCAUAAUUUGCAAUUCUUUUCUGUUUAUUGCAAGUUUCGAGGUUGACUUAGUUAUCAACCAAAGUUCUGGAGUUAUUUUGACAAUUUGAAGACGAUCUUCUAAGACAGCAAAAUGCCAAGCUUGCUUUGUUUACUUUGUGUUGGUGAUGAGGCAAAUGUUCAAAAAUUGCAUAAUUUUCCCUGUAAUCUAGCAAGAUCUAAGGAAUGGCAAGAAAUACUAUGAAUGGAUUCAAGGGUGAAUCUCUGCAUUCAUUCAAGAUCUGCAAUAAGCAUUUUUCACCAGACUCAUAUAUGGAUCUAAACAGAUUUAAGCUUCACAGAUCCGCAGUUCCUAUUCCUUGGCAAACCUCCGCAAGAACUAUUAAGACACAUAAAGUAAAUAUGGAAUUUCAUCUGUAGAAUCUGAAAAAGAAAUUAUGACUGAAGUGACUGAGGCAGCUUUGAAUGAUCCAAGCCCUAGCUCAAAAACCCCACAUUUGGCCACACCGAGUAUCAAGGAAGAAAAUAUUCAGAAAUUUUGACGAACUUUCAAUAAUGGACAGUACACCAAGAAAAAAGCAAUUGAUAAAAAUCAUUCAUAGAAGGAAGAAUAAUCCUAGGAAGAUUAAAACCUUGUGUAGGGAAAAUCCCAAGAUUCAAAAGCUCUCACAAAUGUGUGUGAAACUAGUGUAGUAUGUAAAAUUGUGAAAUUAAUGAAAUUAGAAAAAAGAAAAGACAGUGAAAAGAAAAAUAAAUAUAAUUCAACAUUGAAAAAUUUCGA